rnacentral:rRNA from 1 species
CACAUUGUGACGAGUUUGAUCCUGGCUCAGAACGAACGCUGGCGGCAGGCCUAACACAUGCAAGUCGAGCGAGGUAGCAAUACCUAGCGGCGGACGGGUGAGUAACGCGUGGGAACGUACCCUUUGCUACGGAAUAGCCCCGGGAAACUGGGAGUAAUACCGUAUGUGCCCUUCGGGGAAAGGAUUAUCGGCAAGGAUCGGCCCGCGUUGGAUUAGGUAGUUGGUGGGGUAAGUGGCCUACCAAGCCGACGAUCCAUAGCUGGUUUGAGAGGAUGAUCAGCCACACUGGGACUGAGACACGGCCCAGACUCCUACGGGAGGCAGCAGUGGGGAAUCUUAGACAAUGGGCGCAAGCCUGAUCUAGCCAUGCCGCGUGAGUGAUGAAGGCCUUAGGGUUGUAAAGCUCUUUCAGAUGGGAAGAUAAAUGACGGUACCAUCAGAAGAAGACCCCGGCUAACUCCGUG